ensembl:lncRNA
UCGAAGAUGCCCGAGAAUCUUCGGGGAUAUCAGCAUGGGAAAUCGGCGAAUCAGACCCAUGAACCUAUAAAGAAAGACGUCAUCUCAAGCGGGAGAGAAGAGAAGCCCCUGACUGCAGCCCGCAGACGGAGCCCACAUGGAGGGGGCGGGCACUCAGGCCACAUGGAGGGGGCUGGCACUCCGCCCACAUGGAGGGGGCGGGCACUCAGUCCACAUGGAGGGGGCGGCCACUCAGUUCACAUUGAGGACUGGUCAAACAGCAUUUCUGAUCCCGUUUCUGACCUGAAAUUAGCUGAAAUGUACCUGAAAUUACCUGAAAUUAGAGUGUGCCCGCCCGAGCGAGUGAUGCCUAAAACAUGCAAACAAAACUGAAGACCAGGAACUGGAACCUGGGAACCUGGUAUGUAAUAUGUGUGUAAUGCUGGAGGUUGUAUGUAUAGCCAGAUGAAAUAGUCUGAUGACUAGUUGAAUAGUGUUUUUUAUCACUGAAAACUCAUCAGUAGUAGUAGCCUUUGUUUGCAUACCAUUUUGUGGUUUUGGGAGAGUAGGGUGUCAAGUACAGACACAAAUAAUUCUUCUUUCUUCUUCAAGGAAGAUGAUGUUGUCCUGAAGGACACAAUUCAGGCAGCAGCAUUGUGCCAGUUACAGUCUUUCAAGGACAGCGUUUCUCUCCCAGAGGUCAUUGGGAUGGAAGGUUGGGAGCAGAUGGCAGCAUCAACACAGCGCAAAUCCCAUGACGGCGGGGAUGAGGAAGAAACGAGGAAACCAUUCCAAUUCUCAUUCAGAUUACAUACUGACUAUGAACUGUUCUGUGUGGAGAUGAUGGACAGGAGAAACCUGAAGGUGUUUGCCUCUUUUGAGUCGAACACCUCUCCCCCUCCCCGUCCCCCCUCCCCGUCUCCCUCCCCGUGACGCCUGCGCCACACGACUCCAAUGUAGUCUGAUGAUGCAGCAUAAUGGCGGCGCUUGGCAGUUAUGGCGGCGGUGACGGCGAUGUCGGGCGACAGAGCGUGAAGCGAGAGUGGCGUCCACCUCACUGAGGAAGGCGUCAGUGUGUCCCCCCCCCCCCCGUUGAGACUUUGUUUGUUCUACUCUUUAUUGAUUUAUCUUUAUGUUAAUAGUUUACAAUCUAUUUUUUGUAGUUGUUAUUUUUUAAUUGUUUUGUUGAAUAAAAAUACUUGUUAGUGCUCCUGUGAUUGGUGUAACUUAAUGUGCUUCACACAUGUAGUUUUUCAUUAUGUCUAUUGAGGUACAUUUUUUGCCCUUAGAUGUGGUCACUUCGUUAUUCCUCACAUUACAUCUGUUAAGGUCAUACCUUUGGGUCCCAGUCUUCAUAGUUCCCCAAAUCUUAUUUUGGCUCUUACUGGGCCUGUAACUCUCACAGACAGGCGGGUACAGGAGUUCGCACACGUUGCAUUGUUUACAGGCAAGGGUGGAUUACCGCACGGGCACACCGGGCACAUGCCCAGGGGCCCAAGGGCGGUGGGGGGGCCCUAAGCCAGAGCUUCUGUCUGAAGUCGCUGUUAGUAACUUUUAAUGUUGUAUUGUCGAAGCAAUCAGUAGAGAAAUACAAAAAUUCAAGCGAAAACAGCAAUAGUAGGCCUAUUAAUACUGAGUAAAAAAAAAAAAAGAUCACUAGGGGGCACUAUUUCAGUUAGUGAAUUUGAGACUGGUCACGAACAAGGCACUGUGAUUUAAACAUGGAGCAACGGCGAACAGUUGUAACGUGAACUCUUAAGUGGAACCUAAAUAGGUCCAUGAGUGGAACAGCUAAGCGAAAAAAAAAUAAACAAGAGAAAAUGUAUUUGCAAGUCGUUUAGGCUAUGCUUAACUUUAUAAUAGUUCCAUGGUACGCAGCAAGAAAGAUACCCAGUCACAAUACUCCCGUACCAUCUGUUUGUAUAAUUUAAUUAACAGCAUGGGCUCCCGCUAGCUUAACAUAGUAUUACCGUUUACUCUUGCAUUAACAAGAGCAGCGGAAAUCUGCUCAAUCGUCUCGAUGUGGACUGAGUGCCCGCCCCCUCUAUG